rnacentral:rRNA from 1 species
UACAGGGGGGGCAAGCGUUGUUCGGAAUUACUGGGCGUAAAGGGUUUGUAGGUGGCUUGCUAAGUCAGACGUGAAAUCCCUCAGCUUAACUGGGGAACUGCGUCUGAUACUGGCGAGCUUGAGUGCAGGAGAGGAACGCGGAAUUCCCGGUGUAGCGGUGAAAUGCGCAGAUAUCAGUCGGAACACCGGUGGCGAAGGCGGCUUCUUGGGCCUUUACUGACGCUGAGGCGCGAAAGCUGGGGGAGCGAACGGG